AAAAACAUUUAGGAAAAAAUAUUAAAAUCAUUUGUUUCGUAUGUACAUUAAUCCGCGAUCAAUAAUAUGGAGUAAUUCAUUGCGUGAUAAUUAUUCAGUAAAUUAAUUGAAACUUAUUUCUUUGCAAAUUUUAAUCCAAAAAAAUAAUUGUUGCUCAAAAUGUCGGAUUGUGGAUGCGAUAGUGGCGGGGGAUUUGACACAGUGUGUGAUGUUGGCGGUGGUCACGAUAGUGGUACUUGUGACACAGUGUGUGAUGUUGGUGGCGAUAGUGGUAAUUGUCAUAGUUAUGAUAAUACAGGUACCGAUAGUAGAUCCAGUGAUAUUGCCAGCAAUAAUGAUACCACCAUUCAUCACUUUCACAACGAUAACACUUAUGAAUUACCUCCGAAUCAUAUGGAUUAUUUUCACAAUUUAAACGAUAACUCAUAUUAUGAAAGUAGUCCUAAAUCAGAUAAAUGUAAUCCCUGGAUCAA